rnacentral:rRNA from 1 species
CUCUCUGGGUGGCGAGUGGCGGACGGGUGAGGAAUACAUCGGAAUCUACUUUUUCGUGGGGGAUAACGUAGGGAAACUUACGCUAAUACCGCAUACGACCUACGGGUGAAAGCAGGGGAUCUUCGGACCUUGCGCGAUUGAAUGAGCCGAUGUCGGAUUAGCUAGUUGGCGGGGUAAAGGCCCACCAAGGCGACGAUCCGUAGCUGGUCUGAGAGGAUGAUCAGCCACACUGGAACUGAGACACGGUCCAGACUCCUACGGGAGGCAGCAGUGGGGAAUAUUGGACAAUGGGCGCAAGCCUGAUCCAGCCAUACCGCGUGGGUGAAGAAGGCCUUCGGGUUGUAAAGCCCUUUUGUUGGGAAAGAAAUCCAGCUGGUUAAUACCCGGUUGGGAUGACGGUACCCAAAGAAUAAGCACCGGCUAACUUCGUGCCAGCAGCCGCGGUAAUACGAAGGGUGCAAGCGUUACUCGGAAUUACUGGGCGUAAAGCGUGCGUAGGUGGUCGUUUAAGUCCGUUGUGAAAGCCCUGGGCUCAACCUGGGAACUGCAGUGGAUACUGGGCGACUAGAAUGUGGUAGAGGGU